rnacentral:rRNA from 1 species
AGAGUUUGAUCAUGGCUCAGAUUGAACGCUGGCGGCAUGCUUUACACAUGCAAGUCGGACGGCAGCACAGAGAAGCUUGCUUCUUGGGUGGCGAGUGGCGAACGGGUGAGUAACAUAUCGGAACGUACCGAGUAAUGGGGGAUAACUAAUCGAAAGAUUAGCUAAUACCGCAUAUUCUCUGAGGAGGAAAGCAGGGGACCUUCGGGCCUUGCGUUAUUCGAGCGGCCGAUAUCUGAUUAGCUAGUUGGUGGGGUAAAGGCCUACCAAGGCGACGAUCAGUAGCGGGUCUGAGAGGAUGAUCCGCCACACUGGGACUGAGACACGGCCCAGACUCCUACGGGAGGCAGCAGUGGGGAAUUUUGGACAAUGGGCGCAAGCCUGAUCCAGCCAUGCCGCGUGUCUGAAGAAGGCCUUCGGGUUGUAAAGGACUUUUGUCAGGGAGGAAAAGGCUGUUGCUAAUACCGACAGCUGAUGACGGUACCUGAAGAAUAAGCACCGGCUAACUACGUGCCAGCAGCCGCGGUAAUACGUAGGGUGCGAGCGUUAAUCGGAAUUACUGGGCGUAAAGCGAGCGCAGACGGUUACUUAAGCAGGAUGUGAAAUCCCCGGGCUCAACCUGGGAACUGCGUUCUGAACUGGGUGACUAGAGUGUGUCAGAGGGAGGUAGAAUUCCACGUGUAGCAGUGAAAUGCGUAGAGAUGUGGAGGAAUACCGAUGGCGAAGGCAGCCUCCUGGGAUAACACUGACGUUCAUGCUCGAAAGCGUGGGUAGCAAACAGGAUUAGAUACCCUGGUAGUCCAA